AAAGAGUACGUAGGCGGUUAUUCAAGUCAGAGGUGAAAGCCCGGGGCUCAACCCCGGAACUGCCUUUGAAACUAGAUAACUAGAGUCUUGGAGAGGUUAGUGGAAUUCCGAGUGUAGAGGUGAAAUUCGUAGAUAUUCGGAAGAACACCAGUGGCGAAGGCGACUAACUGGACAAGUACUGACGCUGAGGUACGAAAGCGUGGGGAGCAAACAGGAUUAGAUACCCUUGU
rnacentral:rRNA from 1 species